rnacentral:rRNA from 1 species
GAUAAGGUUAAGUGAAUAAGGGCGCACGGUGGAUGCCUUGGCACUAGGAGCCGAUGAAGGACGGGACUAACACCGAUAUGCUUUGGGGAGCUGUAAGUAAGCUAUGAUCCAGAGAUUUCCGAAUGGGGGAACCCAAUAUCUUUUAUAGGAUAUUACUUUUCAGUGAAUACAUAGCUGAUUAGAGGUAGACGCAGAGAACUGAAACAUCUUAGUACCUGCAGGAAGAGAAAGAAAAUUCGAUUCCCUGAGUAGCGGCGAGCGAAACGGGAAGAGCCCAAACCAACAAGCUUGCUUGUUGGGGUUGUAGGACUCCAAUAUGGUAGUCUGUUAGUAUAGUUGAAGGAUUUGGAAAAUUCCGCUAAAGAGGGUGAAAGCCCCGUAGACGAAAUGCUAACAACACCUAGGAGGAUCCUGAGUACGGCGGAACACGAGAAAUUCCGUCGGAAUCCGCGGGGACCAUCCCGCAAGGCUAAAUACUCCCUAGUGACCGAUAGUGAACCAGUACCGUGAGGGAAAGGUGAAAAGCACCCCGGAAGGGGAGUGAAAUAGAUCCUGAAACCGUGUGCCUACAACAAGUCAAAGCUCGUUAAUGAGUGAUGGCGUGCCUUUUGUAGAAUGAACCGGCGAGUUACGAUUGCAUGCGAGGUUAAGUCGAAGAGACGGAGCCGCAGCGAAAGCGAGUCUGAAUAGGGCGAAUGAGUAUGUAGUCGUAGACCCGAAACCAUGUGAUCUACCCAUGUCCAGGUUGAAGGUGCGGUAAAACGCACUGGAGGACCGAACCCACGUACGUUGAAAAGUGCGGGGAUGAGGUGUGGGUAGCGGAGAAAUUCCAAACGAACUUGGAGAUAGCUGGUUCUCUCCGAAAU